rnacentral:rRNA from 1 species
GAUGGGAGCUUGCUCCCUGAUGUUAGCGGCGGACGGGUGAGUAACACGUGGGUAACCUGCCUGUAAGACUGGGAUAACUCCGGGAAACCGGGGCUAAUACCGGAUGCUUGUUUGAACCGCAUGGUUCAGACAUAAAAGGUGGCUUCGGCUACCACUUACAGAUGGACCCGCGGCGCAUUAGCUAGUUGGUGAGGUAACGGCUCACCAAGGCGACGAUGCGUAGCCGACCUGAGAGGGUGAUCGGCCACACUGGGACUGAGACACGGCCCAGACUCCUACGGGAGGCAGCAGUAGGGAAUCUUCCGCAAUGGACGAAAGUCUGACGGAGCAACGCCGCGUGAGUGAUGAAGGUUUUCGGAUCGUAAAGCUCUGUUGUUAGGGAAGAACAAGUGCCGUUCAAAUAGGGCGGCACCUUGACGGUACCUAACCAGAAAGCCACGGCUAACUACGUGCCAGCAGCCGCGGUAAUACGUAGGUGGCAAGCGUUGUCCGGAAUUAUUGGGCGUAAAGGGCUCGCAGGCGGUUUCUUAAGUCUGAUGUGAAAGCCCCCGGCUCAACCGGGGAGGGUCAUUGGAAACUGGGGAACUUGAGUGCAGAAGAGGAGAGUGGAAUUCCACGUGUAGCGGUGAAAUGCGUAGAGAUGUGGAGGAACACCAGUGGCGAAGGCGACUCUCUGGUCUGUAACUGACGCUGAGGAGCGAAAGCGUGGGGAGCGAACAGGAUUAGAUACCCUGGUAGUCCACGCCGUAAACGAUGAGUGCUAAGUGUUAGGGGGUUUCCGCCCCUUAGUGCUGCAGCUAACGCAUUAAGCACUCCGCCUGGGGAGUACGGUCGCAAGACUGAAACUCAAAGGAAUUGACGGGGGCCCGCACAAGCGGUGGAGCAUGUGGUUUAAUUCGAAGCAACGCGAAGAACCUUACCAGGUCUUGACAUCCUCUGACAAUCCUAGAGAUAGGACGUCCCCUUCGGGGGCAGAGUGACAGGUGGUGCAUGGUUGUCGUCAGCUCGUGUCGUGAGAUGUUGGGUUAAGUCCCGCAACGAGCGCAACCCUUGAUCUUAGUUGCCAGCAUUCAGUUGGGCACUCUAAGGUGACUGCCGGUGACAAACCGGAGGAAGGUGGGGAUGACGUCAAAUCAUCAUGCCCCUUAUGACCUGGGCUACACACGUGCUACAAUGGGCAGAACAAAGGGCAGCGAAACCGCGAGGUUAAGCCAAUCCCACAAAUCUGUUCUCAGUUCGGAUCGCAGUCUGCAACUCGACUGCGUGAAGCU